GAUGAAGAACGUAGCGAAAUGCGAAAAGUAAUGUGAAUUGCAGAAUUCAGUGAAUCAUCGAAUCUUUGAACGCACAUUGCGCCCCUUGGUAUUCCGAGGGGCAUGCCUGUUCGAGCGUCAUAUUAACCACUCCCGCUUGCGGGGUCUUGGGCUUCGCCUCCGGGCGGGCCUUAAAAUCAGUGGCGGUGCCGUCGGGCUCUACGCGUAGUAAAUUUUCUCGCGAUAGGGUCCCGGUGGAUGCUUGCCAACAACCCCCAACUUCUUAAGGUUGACCUCGGAUCAGGUAGGGAUACCCGCUGAACUUAAGCAUAUCAAUAAGCGGAGGA
rnacentral:misc_RNA from 1 species